ACCUGGCCAAAAGAGCCAAUGGGAAGGCUAGAACUUUUAAAAUUGAAACAAGACUCCCCUUUUGUCUGUCUGUCUGUUGUUCUCCUGGAGAGGAAACAGAGCAGCAAUGAUGUAAAAAGGUUUGAGCCAGUCCCUAGGGUAAAGGGUAUUCACCAUUCUUGGACUGAUAUGCCCAUCUUCCUCCAUUCUCCUAUAACUGUCUGGUCUGACUUUGAGACACAGCCCAUUUCCAGAAGUCAGCUGGCCAUCAGCCAGAGGUACCUUAAGUGGGAGCCCGUGACUCGGAGUACAAAGCCUGUACCCAGCAGGAAGGGGUUAAAGAAUGGUUUUGGGCUCAGGCAACUCACCUCACUGCACCUAUGAGGCCUCCCAGGCUUGAAGGAAGAUCCUUAAAAGGGAGGGAGCCGGUUUUGGGAGAUGGACAGACUGCUCCCUGUUGAUGUCCAAAAAGGAGUAUGGAGGACAAAGUUGCCUGAGUCUUCCUGUGAACACUACACAAAAGUUUUGAGGCCUCUGAGCUGGGCUGCAGCUUAUUAGGUAUCUCCUGAAAGGAGGGAGGCCAGAAACAUGUCUGGACUAUUUUUGUAUUUUGCCUUUCCUUGUUACCUUUCCUCUGAGGUGGACUGGGGAAGAAGGCCUACGGGGGGCUGCAGUAGGAGGCAGUCCAGGGAAGAAGCUGGAGGUCUGAAGUUCUAGACCUUCAAUAUCUGCUACAGGGGCCUUGAGCUACAACCCAGGGUUGAGGGAAGGACUGGGUUCCCUUACAGUCAUCAGAAAAAAGAAUGAUGAAGACUGCGGAGAUAAGUUGUAAGGACUAGCUGGGCUACAGACCUGGUAAGACAUUGCCAGACUGUUGUUGGACUGGACACUUGCCCUGAAGAGAUGGGUCCGAGCAUGAUCUGUCUGGAUGGGGCUAAAUUGCCAGACAGAGGGGACCACCACCACCAGACCCAAGUGAGUGGCUGGCAAGGUGACAAAAAGAGCAAAUGCCAAUGCUGUGUCUGCCACAAGGGGACAUGCUGCUGGUGAGUCACUUUGCAAGCUGCUGUGCAGACAUACCCAGGUGUAAUUCCCAGAAUGGGUCAACGUACAUUUGCUAGCUCUGCUCGAGCAGCAUGGCCGUGGUGGCACAGGCUCAGGGUAUCCACCUAAAUACAAUCCUGCCUGACCCUCUAGGUAUAUACUUGCUCAGCUAGCCUAAGCUGUUGUGGCCAUGCUGCUAUUUGGUGUUAGCUCUAGGAGAACUAGCACCUGUUUGUCUACCAUGCUGGGAAUUACACCUCCCACCUGCUGUGUAGGCACAUCCUUUGUCACAAAGCCCUACUGCUCAGCUGGCUUCUGACCUUUUUAUCAGUUCAUUUUAAUUGACAUAGUGAUUAAGCCACUGGAAGAUGCCAGAAUCUUAGCUACAUCAUAGCUCUCAUUGGCUUAGUGGCACCAGUGGUAGCUCCAAUGGGAAUUUCCCUCCAGUGUUCCCUGUUAUGGACACAGCCUAUGGCUUUAGACCACAUUUUCUCCUUUGUCAAAAGAAACAGUUAAUGUGAUGGUAAAUCUGCCUUCUACAUUCUUAAAGUGUAAAGUUAUAUCACAUCUGUAUUAUUUUUUUAAAUCAUCUAUUGGAUUUGUUUGUUCAAGUUAAUCAAAAUGGUGUGUUAUUGUUAUGCAGUGAUGCCAAAACAUUUCACCAGAGACUUCAUCAAUAUGUUUGGUGCCUUGCCCAGUUUCAUGUGGUUUUACUUUUCCCCCCUCUUGUGGAAGAAGGCACAUAGUGAUCUUAGGAUUUUAAUACAACCAAAGAUCAGGCCUUAGAAAGAUUCCCUUAACCAAUGGAAAAAGAGAUAAUAAAGACUGCUGAGGACAA